rnacentral:rRNA from 1 species
UGCGUAGGCGGUUUAUUAAGUCAAAUCUGAAAGCCCUCGGCUUAACCGAGGAGGGUGAUUUGAAACUGGUAAACUUGAGUACGGCAGAGGUUAGUGGAAUUCAAUGUGUAGCGGUGGAAUGCGUAGAUAUAUUGAGGAACACCAGUGGCGAAGGCGGCUAACUGGACCGGAACUGACGCUGAGGCACGAAAGCGUGGGGAGCAAACAGGAUUAGAUACCCUGGUAGUCC